CCUACGGGGGGCAGCAGUGGGGAAUAUUGGACAAUGGGGGGAACCCUGAUCCAGCCAUGCCGCGUGUGUGAAGAAGGCCCUCGGGUUGUAAAGCACUUUCAGUGAGGAAGAACGCCUGGUGGUUAAUACCCAUCAGGAAAGACAUCACUCACAGAAGAAGCACCGGCUAACUCCGUGCCAGCAGCCGCGGUAAUACGGAGGGUGCGAGCGUUAAUCGGAAUUACUGGGCGUAAAGCGCGCGUAGGUGGCUUGAUAAGCCGGUUGUGAAAGCCCCGGGCUCAACCUGGGAACGGCAUCCGGAACUGUCAAGCUAGAGUGCAGGAGAGGAAGGUAGAAUUCCCGGUGUAGCGGUGAAAUGCGUAGAGAUCGGGAGGAAUACCAGUGGCGAAGGCGGCCUUCUGGACUGACACUGACACUGAGGUGCAAAAGCGUGGGUAGCAAACAGGAUUAGAUACCCCGGUAGUC
rnacentral:rRNA from 1 species